rnacentral:rRNA from 1 species
GAUGGGAGCUUGCUCCCUGAUGUUAGCGGCGGACGGGUGAGUAACACGUGGGUAACCUGCCUGUAAGACUGGGAUAACUCCGGGAAACCGGGGCUAAUACCGGAUGCUUGAUUGAACCGCAUGGUUCAAUUAUAAAAGGUGGCUUUUAGCUACCACUUACAGAUGGACCCGCGGCGCAUUAGCUAGUUGGUGAGGUAACGGCUCACCAAGGCAACGAUGCGUAGCCGACCUGAGAGGGUGAUCGGCCACACUGGGACUGAGACACGGCCCAGACUCCUACGGGAGGCAGCAGUAGGGAAUCUUCCGCAAUGGACGAAAGUCUGACGGAGCAACGCCGCGUGAGUGAUGAAGGUUUUCGGAUCGUAAAACUCUGUUGUUAGGGAAGAACAAGUACCGUUCGAAUAGGGCGGUACCUUGACGGUACCUAACCAGAAAGCCACGGCUAACUACGUGCCAGCAGCCGCGGUAAUACGUAGGUGGCAAGCGUUGUCCGGAAUUAUUGGGCGUAAAGCGCGCGCAGGCGGUUUCUUAAGUCUGAUGUGAAAGCCCCCGGCUCAACCGGGGAGGGUCAUUGGAAACUGGGGAACUUGAGUGCAGAAGAGGAGAGUGGAAUUCCACGUGUAGCGGUGAAAUGCGUAGAGAUGUGGAGGAACACCAGUG